CUCCAAGCAUCCCCCCAAAAAUGCUCCCUGUCCCCCUUCUAGGAGUAACAAGGAGGGGUUACAAGCAGUGCCACGUGUUUCUUCCUGCUGCCGUUAAAAUAACAGCUCCUCGACAUCACUUAGCAGAACAAUCAUCACCCUUACUUCAAACCGAGACCGCCGGCUGUGCGCAUUGUCUCCCUUUAACAUCAGCCGCUCGACGCGCAACGAGAGCCGGCAACUGAGCGCUCUGAAAGCCAGAAGACAGACACAAGAGCAAAUAAUUACCUUUCCCAGCACUGCAGACACACACAGAGAGACGGUUUUGUGUCCCCAGACAAGAGGCCUGCUUUCACCUGAGCAGGCUCAGCCAAUUACCCCCACCCGCACCCCCGCGCCACCAACGGAGACAAAGGGGAGCCGAGUAGGAUGAGUGACCGGGACCAGGCUGGGAGGCUCUUCAUUAGCGGAGGAGGGGUCAGACCCUGUGAUGUGGUGCCACUUCUAAGCGUCCCGGGGCUGCCCAGUGACUCUCACAGCAGGGGUUACAAUACCUGACCAGCCCCUUUCCUGGACUCCCUUCUAUUUAUAGAUGGCCUAUAGCUAAAUUUCCCAGCAGAUGUUUGUUUUAAAUAUGCUGUAAAAUUCUCUUAGAACAAUGGGAAUGAGGUAGUUGGUAUGUGAUGACCCAUUCAUCCCAACCUGCUGAAGUGUGCCAUGAGCUAAUACAUGAUCAAACCUUCCAACUGAGCCCAAUGGACACCAUGCCUGAGGAGCGCAGCACCUUUUGGGCUUGUUAAGGUAGUUGCUUAAGAUUUAAUGUCUAUAGAAGAAUUGUAAAUUGUUUAUAUCCUACAAGCAUUUUGCAUUUGUUGAAAUGCUUUUUUGAUUUCAUGACUUUUUCAAGUAAUUGCAAGAAAUGUGAAGAUAUUUGUAACUUGAGAAAUGUCCUGUAGUAAUAAACAAUGACUAUGUGUAGGGUUGUUUGUGCACAUGCACAGACAUGUUUUGGUGUACCGACAUUCACGUGUGAUUGUGCGUGAACCCUUUCUGCUGUGCCAUCCAUCCCUUACCUGUCACUUUACCGGUCUCGGGCAGUGGGAGAGGCCUCAUACUGUGGAAUGCCUGUUGCCAUUUAAGCUCCAUUACUACCUGUUGCUGGCCUAUUCUUCCUGCCCUCUAUUGCCUGGGGUUCAUAUUGGAUAAGAGCCGUAAAGCCCUGUGUUUCAU